AAAGAAACCAUCGUUGUAUGCGCGCCUCGCCAUCGGAGGAGCGGGCUGUCGCAGACGCGUGGACUGUUUUCGCUGCCUGUGGGCAAGUCCGAACGAACCAGGCAGGCGUUGCAUUCUAUACGUGUCGGUCAGACAACCUUCGCCACUGCGUCGAUCCGAGCGAAUGUGCUACGCUGCCUGGAGCGCUGGCCGUCCACUCACGCACCCAGAGCGGCCAUCGCAGCGACAGUUGCCGGUUGGCUCGCCGACCCCUCAGUCACGUCCGGUCGUCGCCCUGUUUGCCGAAGCCCCGAGCGCACCGUGACCCCAGCA